UACGUAGGGGGCGAGCGUUAUCCGGAUUUACUGGGUGUAAAGGGAGCGCAGGCGGCAUCGCAAGCGUGGGGUGGAAGCCCGGGGCCCAACCCCGGGACUGCCCUACGAACUGCGGAGCUGGAGUACGGGAGGGGCAGGCGGAAUUCCUGGUGUAGCGGUGAAAUGCAUAGAUAUCAGGAAGAACACCGGUGGCGAAGGCGGCCUGCUGGACCGGUACUGACGCUGAGGCUCGAAAGCGUGGGUAGCAAAC
rnacentral:rRNA from 1 species